rnacentral:rRNA from 1 species
GACGAACGCUGGCGGCGUGCUUAACACAUGCAAGUCGAACGAAGUGGCGCACGGGUGAGUAAUACGUGGGUAACCUGCCCUCCUCUUUGGGAUAAGCCUUGGAAACGGGGUCUAAUACCGAAUAAAGGGGGAUGGGCUCGCGGCCUAUCAGCUGGUUGGUGGGGUGAUGGCCUACCAAGGCGGUGACGGGUCGCCGGCCUGAGAGGGUGACCGGCAACGUGGGGACGGAAAUACGGCCCAGAGUCCUACGGGAGGGAGAAGUGGGGGAUAUUGCACAAUGGGCGAAAGCCUGAUGCAGCGACGCCGCGUGGGGGAUGAAGGCUUUCGGGUUGGAAACCUCUGUCGCUAUCGAAUGGGUAGGUGGAUAAGAAGCGACGGCUAACUACGUGCCAGCAGCCGCGGUAAUUC